UAUUCAUUGAUAUUAAGGGUGCUACAGUCGUUAGCGAUCCGUUAUCCUCGCAAGAAUUUGCCCGGUAGCGUAUAAGCAAAACACAAAUCUAUCCAUGCAAGCAUUUACCGCUGGUGAACCGGCGGUUUUUUUUGCCUGCCAUCCAGACAAAAGCGGCCCCUUGCGCAACGAUGCAGCAAGGGGCCGGCUCUGCGAGGGAUUAUCUCCGUUCAUUAAUCA
rfam:Salmonella enterica subsp. arizonae serovar 62:z4,z23:--, complete genome.